AAUCAACGCUGGCGGCGUGCCUCAGACAUGCAAGUCGAACGAUUAAAGCUCUCUUCGGAGAGUGUAUAGAGUGGCGCACGGGUGAGUAACACGUAAGUAAUCUACCCUCGAGUGGGGAAUAACAACCGGAAACGGUUGCUAAUACCGCAUAAUGCAGCGGCACCGCAAGGUGACAGUUGUUAAAGAUUUAUCGCUUGAGGAGGAGCUUGCGGCAGAUUAGCUAGUUGGUAGGGUAACGGCUUACCAAGGCUACGAUCUGUAACCGGUCUAAGAGGACGGUCGGUCACACUGACACUGAAUAACGGGUCAGACUCCUACGGGAGGCAGCAGUCGGGAAUUUUGGGCAAUGGGCGAAAGCCUGACCCAGCAACGCCGCGUGAAGGAUGAAGUAUUUCGGUAUGUAAACUUCGAAAGAAUAGGAAGAAUUAAUGACGGUACUAUUUAUAAGGUCCGGCUAACUACGUGCCAGCAGCCGCGGUAAUGUACAGUGU
rnacentral:rRNA from 1 species